rnacentral:rRNA from 1 species
GAGUUUGAUCAUGGCUCAGAUUGAACGCUGGCGGCAGGCCUAACACAUGCAAGUCGAGCGGAUGACGGGAGCUUGCUCCUUGAUUCAGCGGCGGACGGGUGAGUAAUGCCUAGGAAUCUGCCUGGUAGUGGGGGGACAACGUUUCGAAAGGAACGCUAAUACCGCAUACGUCCUACGGGAGAAAGCAGGGGACCUUCGGGCCUUGCGCU